UGGGUCGUAGCGCAGAGGCAGCGCAUCCCUUGCUAAGGGAAGGACGCCGGUUCGAAUCCGGCCGCCCAGCCC
rnacentral:tRNA from 2 species